UACGUAGGCAGCAAGCGUUGUUCGGAGUUACUGGGCGUAAAGGGUGCGUAGGCGGUUGUUUAAGUUUGGUGUGAAAUCUCCCGGCUCAACUGGGAGGGUGCGCCGAAUACUGAAUGACUAGAGUGCGGGAGAGGAGAGUGGAAUUCCUGGUGUAGCGGUGAAAUGCGUAGAUAUCAGGAGGAACACCAGUGGCGAAGGCGGCUUCCUGGCCUGUUCUUGACGCUGAGGCGCGAAAGCUAGGGGAGCAAACGGG
rnacentral:rRNA from 1 species